ACAUUUCAAAUGCUUGCUGAAGAGAUGUGUCUCAACACAGCACAGAGAAACACCCUCAGUAAAGGUCUUCCUUCUAAACUUGGAUGAGUCAUGUCACUCUUGAAGCCUGAUGGUACGUAGGUGGGGUUUUGCCCAUAUUUGGAAUUGUUGGUGAGCUUUUGUGUUUGAAGAUGAUUGGCUGACGACCGAUAGAAAACGAAUCGGCUUCCUUUUCUCUGUUGUAGUCGUCAGGAGGAAAUAACAGAUAAGGAAAUGGUUUUCAGAUAUUUAUACAUUAUUCUACAAAAAAUGAGCAAGUUUAAAAGAUUAUAUUCAUAUAUUGGAUUUGAGAAAAUAUCAGAUCCACCAUGGCUUAUUACAGAAAAAUAUAUUCUACCAGAAUCUACAAAUGGCCCAGUAGUUUAUAAAAAUGGAGAAAUUGCCGAAUAUAAUGCCAACUCGAUGCUAGCAAUUUCAGAGGAAACACCUUGCAUAAUAAUCACUAAGUUCAAUGAAGGAAACUUUAGUUCACAUGGACUCGGCUGUUAUUACGGUAAUGGGAAUGUCUUGACUGCUUUACAUGUAGUUAAGGAACCAAAUUUAAAGACGUCAAAAAUACUCAUUGCUUUCCCCACUGAAGACUUUAUACUGGUCUACAAGGCUGACUUGAAAUUUCCUAACACUGACACAAAGCGAGAUCUAGCUUUUGUUAAGUUACUAGGCAACACUCAUCCACUUGGUGAUGGUUUACAAAACAAGAUUGCUGAAGUAAAUAAAAAUGAUAGAAUAUACUUUCGUACCCAAACCCAAAAUGGGAAAUUUCAGAAGCAGGAGGGUAAAAUCUGCCGGCCAAAUUCAAGCAUGAGGCAACAAAUGGGUGAGAAUGAGUUUGUAACAUCUGUAGCAGGUAAUGAAGGAGACAGCGGUUCACCUGUUUUCAACGAUAAACAUGAACUGAUCGGUAUAUAUGUAAAAGUCUUUACACACCACAGUGAACCUGAAUAUGGCUGCUUUUCUGAAAUUUCUAAUUUUCCACAGUGGGUAUGAUUGUAGCCUUAGUAAUAGAAUCUCAAAAAUCAGAAAAAUAAAUAAAUAAAAAAUUAUCCUGCAGAACACCAAAAACAUGCAACACGUUAGCCAAAGCGAACCGCUGUACAGAAGCCAAGCCCCUUUUCAGAUUCGUUUCUGCUUUCUGUCGGACUAAAAAAGCUCGGAAAAAGCUGACGUCCAAGCGCAACCUGAAUCCGCUGAGUUUCACCUGAUAACAGCGAACAUUUACUACACUGGUGCCAACACCCGGGAGAUCCGCGCACAAAGAAAGUGGAAACGGACACGCAGCCAAACCCCACCACCCCCACCUGGUGCAGAUCCU